rnacentral:tRNA from 1 species
GAGGGUAUAGCUCAGUGGUAGAGCACAUGCUUAGUGUGCACAAGGUCCUAGGUUCAAUUCCUAGCACUUCCA